rnacentral:lncRNA from 7 species
UCCUCCCCAGGUUUGCUGGAAAUCUGCGUUUGAAUCAUGAAAUGCACUUUUCAAUGGACGCAGCAUUCUGGUAACUGGAACAAUAACCAUUCACAAGAUGAGGGAUGAGUCACAGCGAGGGACAGGAGGAGCUGAUGAGCAGCCUGCUGGCACACACAGGGCAGGCACACACAGAUCCUACCCCAGUGACACCCAAGGGAUGCGGUUCCCAGCUGGCAGAGAGGGAAACGCAGGAGCUCAAAGCCCUCUGCAAGGGCUGAGCAUCCUUUGCUGACUGUGGGAGCUGAGGGCCUUUUGCAGAUUGCUCCUUUGGGCCCUUUUUAGUUUGGGAUUUCCCUCACAUGCGCUCCAACUGCAUCCUUCUGAAGGGGCUGAGAGCCCUGCAAGGCAUGGGAUGCCAGCAGUUUUGAGAGUGCCUGGCUUGUAGACCCAGCUGGGAGAGGAUCUAAAUGGAGAGCACAUGGAGAGCUGUCCUGGAUGAGGUCAAGCAUAGCAGAUUGGUGGGAUGAGGAGGCCAAUAGGAAAGCAAUGAAAGAGGAAGAGCUGGUGUAUGGAAAGUGCUUGUGCCCAUGUUAAAAACAAAAAAAACCCAACAAUAUGUAUAAGGACAAAAGUGAGAUUGCACAUCUGGAUGAGCAUGAACACAGCCAUCAUCGUAAGUCAGGAGUAGAGCCAUGGAGUGGUGCUGCCACCAGGAAUCAGGGCAGGUCCCUCCCAGGUCUGAUCACACAUGGCAUUGAGUGCUGGUCCAGCGUUGGCCCUGAAAUAUGUAAUAGCAGUCAGAUGGAAAUAUCCUCCAGCAUAAAGGCAGCAGUGUGUGGGGGCUCAGCUCAAAGGAAAGCCCAGACAGCAGUGCUGGAGCCAUGCAUGUGGCUCCUGGAACGUCAGCUCAUCUCCUCCAGCAGGUCUGCUGCAAACACAUGGGGACAGCUAUUGCGUGUACAGCACCAGUCUCUGGGUGCUUAUGUUAUUUGUCGGGCAGAGGGAUAAUUGACAGGUGGCUGUCUGGAAGAGAUGAAGCCCUCCAGCAAAACUCUGCAGCUCCGGCAAGAUGCGAGCGACAGAGAAAUGGCUCCAGAGGUGAUAGACUUGUUACAUCUAACACCGCCGGAGAUGGAAGGGGAGCAGGGUUGAAUCGCAGUUCAGAACAAUCGUACCUAACUGCUGCACUAAAUAAAAGCCAUGAUUUCAUACUGGUGUCUGCGGCUGCCUCAGACUGAGCCGGGAUUAACGAGCGUGUUGUUGCCUUUGGAAGGGAAGUGCAUGCCUGAGGACUUUGGGUUCCUUUUUUAAGGGGAGCAUCACCCAGGAGGAGGGCAGAGAUACGGGAUGGGUGCACACCAAAGCAGUGCUGAUGUUUACUCUCCAGCUAAUAAACCUUUCUGGGAGGAGGACAGUGUUGGUGGGAUGGGCUGGUGCCCGGGUACCCCACCAGCUGCAGGUAUUCAUCUUGCCUUGUUUUCUUUUUCUUUUUGCCCUUUUUCUAACUGCUCUGCCCGGGACUUUGAUGCCUGCAAGCCUCCUCCAGGCCUGGCCCUCGUGCUCUUCAAUGAGUCUGCACCUAUUUUGAUGAUGCAUAGCGUUAUCUGCUCCAGACUUAUAAACAAAAACAGAAGCUCAACCAUUAACCCCCUCCAACGCAGCACCCCGACCUAUCGCUCUCUGAGAACCAACUUCUCAUAGGGCUGAUUUCUGCCUGCUUCUUUAUCGACCUCAAGCAUUUUUUUGUACUGUUUACUGGAGUUUGCCCCCUGCCAUGUUUAUGAUGUAGCACUACAGAGGCUCUCGCCCUGCCGUGCUGCACGCUGUGGUGGUUCGGGGCUGAGCUGGGACAGGCAGAGCUGAAGCCCGUUGGCUGCAUCCCUCUGCUCUCCCACCUCCGUGCAGCAAAUCAAAGUGCAACAAAUGGCUUUGCAUCAUUUCUUUGAGGAGCCCUGGGCCUUGUAU